rnacentral:misc_RNA from 1 species
AACCUAGCACACCUGCGGUGUGUACCUGCGGAAGGAUCAUUACCUAGAGUUGUAGGCUUUGCCUGCUAUCUCUUACCCAUGUCUUUUGAGUACCUUACGUUUCCUCGGUGGGCUCGCCCACCGAUUGGACAAAUUUAAACCCUUUGCAGUUGAAAUCAGCGUCUGAAAAAACUUAAUAGUUACAACUUUCAACAACGGAUCU